GGUGUAGCGCAGUUGGCUAGCGCACUUGAUUUGGGAUCAAGGGGCCGGGGGUUCGAGUCCCUUCACC
rnacentral:tRNA from 1 species